rnacentral:rRNA from 1 species
UACAGAGGUCUCAAGCGUUGUUCGGAUUCAUUGGGCGUAAAGGGUGCGUAGGCGGCGCGGUAAGUCGGGUGUGAAAUCUCGGAGCUUAACUCCGAAACUGCAUUCGAUACUGCCGUGCUUGAGGACUGGAGAGGAGACUGGAAUUUACGGUGUAGCGGUGAAAUGCGUAGAGAUCGGGAGGAACACCAGAGGCGAAGGCGGCGACCUGGACAGUUACUGACACUCAACUACGAAAGCGUGGGGAGCAAACAGG